rnacentral:tRNA from 1 species
GAGCCAUUAGCUCAGCCGGCAGAGCACCGGACUUUUAAUCCGGGUGUCCCGCGUUCGAAUCGCGGAUGGCUCACCA